UAAGUUUUUUUUUUUUUUACUCUUUCUUUUAAAAAGAUACAUUUAUUCUCAUUUUGGUGUAAAUUUAUUCUUAAUAAAAUAUGAAAUAUGGAUCUUGAAUGAAAGAUCAUAAAAAUACUUUUAAUUCGACACGUGGUAGGUAAAAAAUGAAUACGAAUUAAACAAAUUAUUAUCAUUCAAAUGUUUUAAAUAUUCUUUCAAAUAAUAGCAUAUUAAAU
rnacentral:lncRNA from 1 species